AGCCACUGAUGAUUCCUUUUUAAAUUUCUGACACCUCAUCUGAGUGCUUUAUGCAUUUGCUGAUGACCUAUAUCUGAGGCUC